UAGAGAGUAGUGCAAAACACAAAGAAUAAGUUAGAAAUCAUUUCUAAAGGACAGAGAUUAAGGGACUUAGGGAAAAAUUAAGGUUUCAUAAUAAAUCAGUGACAUGUAAGGAACCUAUCUAUGAAACUCGUUAAUAAUAACGUUCGUAGCACCAUCAGACCAUAAACCAUUGGAGUAAGCCGAAGACAAUCCAGGCAAGGCCUCCAACGACCACCACUUUGUGUGGUGGAGGCUUCUAGAGUCUUGAAGCUAGAAGGAAUCGACAAAAUAAAGUUCCA
rnacentral:lncRNA from 1 species